rnacentral:rRNA from 1 species
AACGAACGCUGGCGGCAGGCUUAACACAUGCAAGUCGAGCGCCCCGCAAGGGGAGCGGCAGACGGGUGAGUAACGCGUGGGAAUCUACCCAUCCCUACGGAACAACUCCGGGAAACUGGAGCUAAUACCGUAUACGCCCUACGGGGGAAAGAUUUAUCGGGGAUGGAUGAGCCCGCGUUGGAUUAGCUAGUUGGUGGGGUAAUGGCCUACCAAGGCGACGAUCCAUAGCUGGUCUGAGAGGAUGAUCAGCCACAUUGGGACUGAGACACGGCCCAAACUCCUACGGGAGGCAGCAGUGGGGAAUAUUGGACAAUGGGCGAAAGCCUGAUCCAGCCAUGCCGCGUGAGUGAUGAAGGCCCUAGGGUUGUAAACCUCUUUUAGUAGGGAAGAAGCGUAAGUGACGGUACCUGCAGAAAAAGCACCGGCUAACUACGUGCCAGCAGCCGCAGUAAAAC